rnacentral:rRNA from 1 species
UACGGGGGGGGCAAGCGUUGUUCGGAAUUACUGGGCGUAAAGGGUUCGUAGGUGGCCAACUAAGUCAGACGUGAAAUCCCUCAGCUUAACUGGGGAACUGCGUCUGAUACUGGUUGGCUUGAGUGCAGGAGAGGAAUGCGGAAUUCCAGGUGUAGCGGUGAAAUGCGUAGAUAUCUGGAGGAACACCGGUGGCGAAGGCGGCAUUCUGGACUGUAACUGACGCUGAGGCACGAAAGCGUGGGGAGCAAACAGG